CAUAUACUCCCCGUUCCGAAUUACUUGUCGCAGGUAUGGAUGUAUCUAAACGUAUUUUAGUUCUAGAUACAUCCUUUUUGCGACGAGUAAUUUGGAACGGAGGGAGUACAUG
rfam:Triticum aestivum genome assembly, contig: Triticum_aestivum_CS42_TGACv1_scaffold_250211_3DL